rnacentral:lncRNA from 1 species
UAAACACAUGUGUGAUUGAGUGCAUAUCCAGUGAGAAGGUCGCUAGUUUGCAUAUGAUGAUUUUAAAAAUAAAACUUGAAAUUGCAUUAGCAUGGCUAUUCACACACUACACUUCAAGGAUGAUUUAAAGAUUACUGCUAAUAUUUGAAUUAGGAAGAUGAACUUGGAUUAUUUUGUUUGGCUAGCCAUGGUUCUUGAUGAUUUAUGUUCUCAAAUGAUAUUCUAUGAGGGUCACAUAGAGGAACUAAUGUUUUUCAUGUUAGUCUUUUUCAUGUUUUCUUUGUUUUGCUCGAGGACUAGCAAAGCUAAGUAUGGGGUAUUGAUCGAUCAUAUUUAUAUAUAUUUUUACUUCAAAUUCACUCGUCUUUUCUUAGUUAGUUCCUCAUAUUUUUGAGCUAUUUACGUUAUUUUUGUGUUUAUAGGAUUUGUUAUGCAAAGAAAAUAAAAAUAGCACAAAUGGGUUUUAAAUAUAAACAGAAAAAUUGUGGAAACGGGUGGACCACGAGAAAAUAAUGGAGCGAAAAUAAUAUAUAUAUAUAUAUUUUAUAUAUACAUAUAUAAUAUAUAAUAUAUUAUAUAUAUAAAAUAUAUAUAUAUAUAUAUAUUUAUAAAUAGAUUAUGGAAUGUGGUAGGUGAGCACUGGAGAAGUGGAAGGCAGGACACGUGAAUAAUAAGUGGAGGGAGCCUCGGGAUUAAGGGGAAAAAAAGGAUAUAUACGAGACGUGCAGAGAGAGACAGGACGGGGCGGGGGUUUUCUGCUGCUUUUGCAGCAACUAGGAAAACAGGAGAGAGGUCAGGACGGAGGGAGGAGGGCGAGAGAGAUAGGUGAGCACGAGGACUGACACGGCAACAUAAAGCAGAGAAAGGCGCUGCCAGUUGGCAGCUCGUGCGAGGACAGAAAUGGAUAGGAGGACAGGGUGCUGACUUGGCAGCGUGGGCAGUCCAGCGCAGGAGUGUGACGCGGGAGAGCGAGGCGCGGGCAAGUCAGAUGUGCAGACGUGGGAAGAAAACUGGCGGGGAAAGGGCGCUGCCCUUUGGGCAGCGUGAAGCUUGAGGAGGAUCAGGAAAGAAAUAGAAACGAGCAGGGGACAGAGGACGGGACAGCAGAAAAAGCACAGAGGCUUCACUCCAUCUCCUUCGGUUAAAUCCUUCCAACUUAUGUUUUAUUCCUGUUUUAAUAUGUGUAAAUAAAUCUAUUUUGGCUAGAGGUUAAUUCAAAGCCAUGAUAUAUUUUGUAUUGAAUUGAUUACCUUCAGUCGUGAUUUCUUGAGUUGUGAUUUAAUUUGCUUAACUGCUUGAUUGAUAACUUAUUUUGUAUGUCGAUUAAGAAUGCACGCUUAAUUUACAUGCAUGAAUUUGAUGCUAGAAUAUAAGUGAAUUUCACCUAAUCGUUAUGAACUUAUUUUCACAAGUAGUAAAGGUUGCUAGUCACAAUCACGUUAAGUAAAUUCUUGGCAAGAGUAUCAUGCUUUUCAUAGUUACGAAUGCCUCGUCAAUGCUUAUAGUUUUCACAAAGUUUAAUGAUCUUUGAUUGUAUCGCUAUUGUGCUUUUCACGUAGGGGACUUUUGAAGAAUGUUUUGAAUUGUUGUAUGCGUUUUUCGUCCAAUUCAAUAACUUAAGGAAAACUUGAAGAUUAAAAAAGUGUUGUUCACGGUUAAUCUGGAGUAUUGAGAUUCACAAUUUAUUAAAUGAACAACUGGAAAUCAUUUUGUAUGCAAGUAUAACAUGUGUGGAGAAGAACCCUCUAGCUAGUCCGUCAUUUAUCAUUUCACCUUAAUUUCAUGUUUUUGUCAAUUCUGUAAUUUAAUUAAGUUUAAUUUACUUUUCAUCAAAACCAAACACCCAUCCAUUAUUAAAUUAUAUUAUUUAUUUAGUUUUCUUUAUUGUUAGUCUUUUUAAUUUAAUUUCCAUCCAUUUCAGUUCCUAGUGUUUAAUUUAAUUGUUUUCAUUAUUUUGAGUCAUUUUAAGUGUGUUUCGAGUUAUUAGAGUUUUUAGCCUAGUUUUGUAUCCUUGAGUCUUGUUUAAUAUUUUUAAGUUAAUUUAAUAGAUUAGCAAUCCCUCCUAAUCCCCGGCCUAGAACGAUACCCUACUUACAUCUAUACUACAAUUGUCAAAAAGAGGGUUUAAUUUGUGUGUCAAGUAAUUCUCGCACCAAAUUUUGGCGCCGUUGCCGGGGAUUAGCAACUUUGCUAAUCCCUUUAUUUUUGUUUUUGUUUAUGUUUAUAUUGGUGUUUGUGUAUUUUACUUUUGAUAUUUGAUUUAUUUUUCUUUUUUUUGAUUUUAGGUACAAAUGGAGCGAGACAUGGCACUUGCGACCAUUCAAGCUCAAUUGGCACAGCUCACUGCUCAAUUGACUCAUAAUACCGAACGGACCACAAUGCCAAGUGUCCCUACAUUUGAUGUGCCCUAUGGGCAAGGUUAUCAAAGUCCUCAAUUUUAUGCAAAUGAAGAAGUUUGGGGAUAUCAAGGCUAUAACCAAUCAAGGGGCAACAUGUUUUCCAACGCUUGCAAUUCAGAUUGGAGAGGUAAUUCAGAUUAUAUGUGGGAUGAACCUCAACAAUUUCAACAAUGUGGAUAUUGGCAGCAAGACGAGUUCUAUUCAAGACCUAUGCAGCCACCACAGCAUCCCCCACAACAAUUCCAAUCAAAUCAAAGUAUGCCCAUGAAUUAUAAUGAAAUUCUUGAAGGACUAAUUUCUGUGGCGCAGGGUUUACGAAAAGAAGAACAAUUGCCGCCAUCAGAAGAGUUCUAUCAGUGGCCAUAUGAACCGUCACAGCCACCACAACAAUCAACCCAAUUCAAUUCAGGUACAUCCUUGGAUAAUGAUACACUUAAUAAGUUACUCACCUCUUUGAAUCAGGGAGUAGAAAAUCAAAACCAGGAGAUGCAAGAUCGAGUCAAAAGAUUGGACGAAUUGGAUAUGCAAGUUGGGCAGAUUGUGGAAUUCAUGGCACAGAUUCGAGAUCAAAGUGAACUUUCAACUCAAACAUUGCAAAUUCAAAGGCAGAAAGUGAAAUCGAUGAAGCCAUCACUUUGGAAGGUGACAUGAAGGAUGAAGCUGUCCCAGAACCAUCCAAACACAGCUCGAACAUGGAUGAAUUGCUGCUGCAAGCAGAAGAGGAGGAGGACGACCUGGGCAGUUUAGAAGAAUUCUUGCUGCAAGCUCCUCAAAUCCCUAUGUCAUCCAACUCAGGUGAGGAAGUUCUAAAUUCACUUCAUUCUAACAUUAGUCCACCAAAUGUCCUUUUUCCUUGCAGGUUUUUGAUUCCAAAUAUCAAAGAGAGUGAAAAAGACAUUGUGGAAGCUCUUCCAAAGGUGCAAAGUGAUAUCCUAAUUCUUGGUGCACCAAAACAAGUUCCCAAUAUUAUUGAAAUGUUCAAAGAACCUUGCACACCAAGAAAAGGGAUUCAAGAGAAUGAAGUGGUUGAAGCAUAUCAAGAAUACAUCCAAGAGGCUGUGCAUGAGACAAUCAAGCCCAAAGCAGUUGAGUUUGAUGACACGGGACAAACCACAACCAUCAUAGUAAACCUGGCCAAGUUCAAAGUCCCGGAAAUGUUCACAGAUGUGGUGUUUGUCAUUGAGUUUGUGCCGGAAAAAGAAAGUAAGCCAUCUUCUCCAAUUUUAAUUUUUAUUUAUACUAACAUUUUUCUGAUUUUGAUGAUUCAGGCACCCACUCGUGAAUUCAAACCAUUGCCGAAUCAUUUCAAGUAUCACCUCCCAUUAAAAGAUAAAUUCCAUGCUUUGGAGCCGAGGGGAGUUUAAAGGAAAGAUUCGUCUGGCUAAAGACGUUAAAUCAAGCGCUUCUUGGGAGGCAACCCAAGCAUUCAACGAAGGGAGACUUUGAAAUUGCUCAACAAAUCUUUUUCCGAUCAGAUUUGCAUUCCUAAACCCUUCUCUUUACUGCAUUUAUUUUACCUUGUUUAAGUUCAUUAACUGUUAGUUUACUUGCGUGUGAAUCUUGUUUAGGGUAGAUAAAGUCUCUUUACAUUAAUUUACAUAUAUAAAAAUAAAUAAAUAAAUAAAAAAAGAUAAAAUUUAAAAUUAAUGAUAAAAAAAAAAAAAAAAAAAAUUGCAUAAAAAAAAAUAUUUAAAAAAAUAAAAUAAAAAAAAAAAAAAGUACAAAUAUUUUACAAUGAUGUAAACUAAUAGUAUUCAUUGGUCAGGUGGUGCUUCAGUAGUCGGCGGAGCCUCGGCAGUCGGCGGGGCCACAGAAGGAGGAGGCGGCAGAGGUUGAUCAGUUGGAGCUUCACUACGCGGUGCCGCUCCAGAAGACGAAGGCAGAUGUUGUUGGAACAAACCCACAAACCUCCGAUGAUCAAGUAAAAUUUGACCAUCGGUGUCCUGCAUCUGGUCAAUCUUCCUCUUCAUGCUGGUGGCAUAGCUGUGUGCGAGCUUGUGCAAUUCCUUAUUCUCAUGCUUGAGCCCUUUAAUCUCUUGCUUGAGACUCUGUAUUUCAGCCACCAAGGAUUCAACGUGACGGGUUCGGGCAUAUAGGCGUUGGGCCAUGUUAGACACGGAACCGGCACACUGCACGCUAAGAGCCAGAGACUCCUUAACCGCCAAUUCAUCAGAUCGUCUAGCGAGCAGUCUGUUAUCUCUUGGGGUGACAAGGUUCCGGGCCACCACCGCAGCUGUCAUAUCAUUUUUUAUCACCGAAUCCCCCACGGUAAGGGGACCGGUAGGGGAUAUGAAGGAUGGCCGCCAUAUGUUGUCUGGUGAAGGCGGAGCUGCCUCUUCACCAAUGUUCAAGUCAAAACGACGAUCAGAAGGGCCAGACAUUUUUCAGAGGUGGUAAAGAAAGAAGAGAGUCGGACUGAUCAAGAUUAAACAAGUGCAAGAAGGGAGUGUUUACAGGAGGGAGUUCAAGUGUGCUCUGGAUCAAAAUUAGCGCCUCUAUAAAAAGAAGCGUGGAAGUGAGGAGAGGCGCUCCUCAGAAAUCGAAGAGGCGUCUCCUCGCAAAUCGAAAAGAGGGGCUCCUUUCUCAAAAGUCGGAUUCUUUUCUCAAAAGAGGCGUUUCAUUUCUUAAAAAUUGGGCUUGCUCAGAAACCACGAGCCGAACCCCGGAUUUCGUAAGAUCAAUUCGUCCAGACGUGUUGUCACCCGUCACACGCAACUCAGCUUUGCAGAAAUCACGGGCAGUCUGUCGAAGUGCCGAUUCCAACCAUCUGUCUCUCUCAGCCUAGUCAGCACUUGUCACAUGCAACUGGCAGCUUUGCGGAAAUUACGGGCAGCUUUGUCAGAAAGCGCGUAAUUUGUAUUCUUCACCCAUCCACCGGCUGCCGACACUAAGUGAGAGAACAGUUCCGGUUGUGAAGACAAGUCCUAUAAGUUUCUACCUUCGCCUUCCACAGCAAAAGCACACUCUCUCAGCACACCCUCUCAACACCUCUUCAUCUCCGAAAAUGCAUUCCAAAAGAAUCCUCUCGAGUCACUCUGUGUUCCUCAUUCCUUGGGAUACUCCUGCGAACAACCCAUUCAAAGCAAAAGUAUUUCAUAUCAUAAAGGUUGAAAGCAAGAGUAUCUCAUAUCAUGCUUUCUCCAUGUCCUUCUCCUUGUCUUUGUUUUCCGACAAGGAGAAAGAGAGCAAUCAGCCAGCAUUUGGUAUCAAUCUUCCGAUCUGGAGCCAACUGCCUGGAACCCCUUCCUGAUUGCUUACCUAGCCUUGCUCUCGAGUACUCAUCUUCAUCAUUUUAUGCUUUCUCUUCGUCUACCACAUCUGCCUGGGGGACAGUAAGGGAAGUGAAAAUGAUACCUCGAAGCAUGUGGAGACAAUUCAGCUAGGGACAAGGAGAAAGAAAGCAAGAGGUGGGCACUUGGAAAGAUUGAAGAAAGAAAUAAGGACCAACACCUUUCCCUCGUGCCUGCCCGUUGUGCAGAAGAAACAAGCAGAGAAGAAUGCAGCUUGCACAAUCAUCCCAGCGGAAGAAGUCCGAACUGAGGAACUAGAGAAGCUGCCACAUCUUCUUGGAGAACAAAUAAGGAACUGCAACAUAACCAAAGAGCAAAGCUUCGCCGUACAAUAUCAUAAAAUCAUCACUUGCAAGUGAAAAGCUAAGUGUCACCCUGUUCAAGAGGAAAGCUGUGGAAAGUCAACAAGCACGACCAAUGAUUACUUAUUAGUUUUAUUCAUUAUCUUUUAUCGUAAUUUUCAAUUUUUCGUUUGCAAUUUUUUUUAAUUAAUUUUCUUGCGUACUUAACUGAAUUUUUCCUUUUCUUUGCAGGAACUUUUGGUUAUUUCCACCCUUGAAGUUGAUUGCAGAAUUUUAGCUUGGGGGUCAUCGCUUGAUUUUACUGCAAAUUAGGGAAGUUUUCAGUCCAAUUGCGUUAUUUUGUUUCUUAUUAUUUAUUUAUUUUUUUUUAUUUUUUAUUUUUUUAUUUGCAUUAUAGUGUUUUCUGACAUUGGGGACAAUGUCAAGUUUAAGUGUGGGGGUAGAAAUCUCUAGAAUUUCAUUUGUUUCUGUGUUGUUAGUUUUUGUUUUCUUAAAAAAAUAAAAUAAAAUAAAAAAAAAAAUAAAAUCGGAAAAUUUAAAAAUCCAAAAAUAUUGUCUUGUUUCUCUUAUUGUUCUGAAUCAGAUUUUUGUUAGUUUCCCGACCCAAUGAUAUAAUUGGAUCAAAAAUUUGAACCAUGAUCAUCAAGAACUUAGUUAACAUGUGUUUGGUGAAAUUCCUAAUUCUCUUGUUAGUUUUGUACAUGUUUGACCAUCUUUGAAAAACCAAAUGCACAUAGCCUUGUUAAUGUGAAACUAAAGUAUGACUUAAAGCUUCAUAUGUGAAUUUAGUGACCAUAUACAUCCUAUGUGAGUUUUUGAGCCUAUUGAAAGUGUGUGCAUUUUUCAUACACUCCUAUUUUUUUAUGUGUGAUGAACUUAUGUGAGAUACAUCUCUAGAACUUGCGUAACGAUCUUUCGAAAUGUUUGUCAUUGAUUGCAUGAACUUGGAAAUGAUAGAGGCAUUAGGUUUACCACCAUGGCCCAAAUAACCAUGUUUCCCAAAGAAAAAUGAUAUCAUUAGAUUGCCAAUUUGAGCCGUAUAUGUUGAACCUUUUGUUUCUUAUCACCAGAUAUGUCUACCCUUAUACCUGAAACAUUUUUCCUUACCCUUUUCCAAGCGAGCAAUGCGAGAUUGUCUUAUGAGAAACGUUUGUUAAGUACUGUGAAGGUGUUUGGCAAAAGAAUAAGUGUGGGGGUAUUUCAUGUUUGUAUUUAAAAAAAAAAAAAAAAAAAAAAAAAAAAAAAAAAAAAAGAAAAAGAAAAAGAAAAAGAAAGAUUGUAUACAAAGAAAAUAAAAGUUUUUAAAGUUUCAGUUUAAGGUUGUGGUUGGAGAUUUCAGAAGAAUCGUUGGAGAGCUUGAGUUCUUAUAAAUCUAGACAAAAGAAUUGCUUGCAAUGUAGCUUGGAACUUGUGUUUUCCUAUUCUUUCAUUUCAAUAACCCUAUCCCUAAGCCUCAUUACAUCCAAUAAAAGUCCUCUUGAUUUAAGUUUUGCAAUUAUGAUUGUGGAGAAGUGAUCUUUAUGCAAGCUUAUGGUAGAAAUUUCACAUUUGAUUCUUUGAGCGAAACACAUUAAAACUAAACACAUGUGUGAUUGAGUGCAUAUCCAGUGAGAAGGUCGCUAGUUUGCAUAUGAUGAUUUUAAAAAUAAAAACUUGAAAUUGCAUUAGCAUGGCUAUCUCACACACUACACUUCAAGGAUGAUUUAAAGAUUACUGCUAAUAUUUGAAUUAGGAAGAUGAACUUGGAUUAUUUUGUUUGGUGCUAGCCAUGGUUCUUGAUGAUUUAUGUUCUCAAAUGAUAUUCUAUGAGGGUCACAUAGACGGAAGCUAAUGUUUUUCAUGUUAGUACUUUUUCAUGUUUUCUUUGUUUUGCUCGAGGACUAGCAAAAGCUAAGUAUGGGGGUAUUUGAUCGGAUCAUAUUUAUAUAUAUUUUUACUUCAAAUUCACUCGUCUUUUCUUAGUUAGUUCCUCAUAUUUUUGAGCUAUUUACGUUAUUUUUGUGUUUAUAGGAUUUGUUAUGCAAAGAAAAUAAAAAUAGCACAAAUGGGUUUUAAAUAAUAAACAGAAAAUUGUGGAACACGGGUGGACCACGAGAAAAAUAAUGGAGAGCGUAAAAUAUAUAUAUAUAUAUAUAUUUUAUAUAUACAUAUAUAAUAUAUAAAUAUAUUAUAUAUAUAAAAUAUAUAUAUAUAUAUAUUUAUAAAUA